AAGACUAUACUUUCAUUUCCAUAGUUCAUUGCUAGAGACGUUUCUCUGAACAGGUAGAGCACCAGAAACCACAAGGAAUAAGUACAGUGUUGUCACCUGAGCAUGAAACACGGCUCUUGGUGUUGCUUUGCUGUAACUGCCAUUUGCCAUUAGGAGGGUAAGAGGGAGAAGGUAUCAUCUGAGUAGU
ensembl:snoRNA U3 Small nucleolar RNA U3